GACGAACGCUGGCGGCAUGCCUAAUACAUGCAAGUCGAGCGAACAGAUGAAGUGCUUGCACUUCUGACGUUAGCGGCGAACGGGCGAGUAACACGUAAGGAAUCUACCUAUAAGCGGGGGAUAACAUUCGGAAACGGGUGCUAAUACCGCAUAAUAUCUUCUUCCGCAUGGAAGAAGAUUGAAAGACGGCUCUGCUGUCACUUAUAGAUGACCCUGCGGUGCAUUAGUUAGUUGGUGGGGUAAUGGCCUACCAAGACGAUGAUGCAUAGCCGACCUUAGAGGGGGAUCGGCCACAUGGGGACGUAGACACGGCCCAAACUCCUACGGGAGGCAGCAGGAGGGAAUCUUCCGCAAUGGGCGAAAGCCUGACGGAGCAAUGCCGCGUGAGUGAAGAAGGCCUUCGGGUCGUAAAACUCUGUUAUAAGAGAAGAACAAAUUGUAGAGUAACUGCUACAGUCUUGACGGUAUCUUAUCAGAAAGCCACGGCUAACUACGUGCCAGCAGCCGCAGUAA
rnacentral:rRNA from 1 species